AGCAGCUGUGGCUGUGAGGGCUUAGCAGUAAACAGCUAAUAGAAAACUGUAUCUACAUGAACGUCUCAGUGCGCGUUCCUUCAGAACGCUCCUCCCUUUAUUUUCUUUUUUUUUUAGCUUUUGCUGCAUUUUUUGUAUUUGUUGGUGUUUUCAUAGGUUAGAAUACGUUUGACCUCUCAGGGCCACCGUAACCAUACCGUGCACAGAUAUGACAGAAACCUCAUGUUGGGAAAAUAAGGUUGAACACCAUCACAAAAUUUGAAUAUGUUAACAAAAACCCGCCCACUCUAAAAAGUAUUUAUUAAAAUCUGACCUUACUAAGCCACACCCCCUCUGGUGAUGUCACAUAAAGUUGUUACAGAAAUGACUUUAAAUGUUAUUGUAGUGAUAUAGUCGAUGGUGAUCGCACAGGCCGCCUGGUUGGAGGCAACCUGUCUCCAAAGGAUUGCUUUGACAGCCUGGUGAAGGUUUGCAGACAGGUUGCCACCAUGUUACCUGUCUGAGUCCGCCUGCGCCGAUGAGCGCAACUCACCUGUGAUGGACUUGGUUAUAUGCAUGUGUCAUUGUACAGUUAAUCUCUGAUUUAUCACCAUAGGCAACUUUAUCACUGUUUGUGCAAGAAUCUCCAUUUGCUUCUGUCUGUGCAUGUACUGUAGACGGCUAACUUAUUGCUAACUCUACUCCAUCAGUUGCUUUGAGAGCAGAAACUGACUGCGAGUGGUUGCAGACCCGCGCCGUCUCUGAAGCAAUCGUUUCAAAGCAACGAGAGUUCUGUGAAAUCUUUGCAGAAAGUUGCAAUAAGUUUGGUCGUGCCUCAUCUGUCACAGUAUUUUAUAUUCCUGGUACACCAGGACAUGUUAAGCUUAUAAAAGCUGCUAAUCCUGUCAGUUUGGUUGUAACAGGCUACAGAUAAAAGCUGCUGGGUGCGCUCUUUUACACUCAUACAUUAGGAGACUUUUCCGGUGACAAUAUUAAAUCUGCCUUGAAGGUGAAAAUAGGAAAAAGUGCUGAACACUGAUUAAAAGCAGAGUGAAGUGAACAAAAACCAAAAUCAGGUUCCAAAAAUAGCCCCGUCCUAUACUGAGGAUCUCUGCCGCGAUCUGAGCCCCUGCAGCUGUCUGUCCGCUCUUCCCUCAGCUUCGUGCUGUAUUUGAUGGCAGCGCUGCUGUAUUGUGCAGCUCAGACACUGGAGGGCAGACGAUGAGCCGCCCUGCUACGCAGCUGGCCACGGCACAUCAAAACAGCCCUGCUUUUUGUAUCCCUGCCAUUUUAAACAGAGCUUCACUAAGCCAAUUCCCCCUGAAGAAUGACCAUCCAUCGCCCCUUUUUAUCUGCCUCUUUGAAGUGCCGAGCUGUUGGGAUAGUCUUGAGCCCAGGAAGAGAGGGGCAAUUUGGAUGUUAAUCCUCGUCUGAGCACCAGAGAUGUCAGCUGGAAAAAGUCAGGUGCUGGUGUAAUUCCUGCUAUUCCUCUGUAGCUUUUGUCUGAGGCUCCACCAUCAUCACAUUCUCCAAGCAGCACACGCAGGUCCCUCCAAACCGAAUCAAGGAAUUUUCCUUCCUAAUGAUUCAUCCAUAGCGAUCUGAAAAGGCCAGGUGCUCUCUAUUAUUAGAGUCCAGCUUUUCUGGUGUUGCAGCACGUUUGCAUUCAGAGCGGGAAACGGGACCGUCCAUUCUAACGCUUGCACAACUUAAAAGGACGAGCGGGAAAGGGCUUUGUCUCCCUCCGGAUUCCGAGGUUCACUAUCAGUUUAACGCAUGAUCGAGGAAAAGGCUCAUUUUCCUUUGCAGUGCUGAGACCUUUUAAUCUCAAAGGCUGCAUCUCAGAUGGGAGGACAACUAGGGCUGCAUGCAAAGGUUGGAGGUACACACGGAAAUCUUGGAGGCCAGGUCACGUUAGCGUUUUCAUGGCCGACCGGUUUUUCUAAUGAUUUAUAUGGAAAUAUCUAUAUCUAAAAGUGCAUUUUCAUUUUUUCAUUAGAUGAAAUGUUAGCGUAAAAGCUGGUGGCCGGCAGCAGAUCCUCACAGUUAAGGAGCUGAAAGCGAUCAUACAUCUGCUCCCGUUUAAUCGUCUCGAUUAUGUGUGUGUCCGCGUCUUUAGCCACGGCUCUGUGUGGCGAUCUCACAAACAUCAGCUAGUAACGAGCUUCUCUGUCAAUCCCGAGACGUAAUCAGGAGUUCAGAACUUCAGCGGGACCUCAGGGUCAACAUACCGUCUCUCUCAAAUGUCUGCGUCAGACAGGUACGCUUCUGAUUUGAGCUUAAGAGCUUCACUUUAGCGAAGUGAAGUCGUGAAGAUGAGCUGGAAACAGGAAGGAGUUUUAUGAAAGGCAGGAUCAGCACACCUUGGUGAGAUCAGUACAUCGGGAUUUAUUCACUGGAGAGCUUUUAGACAUGGCAGCAUUUCACUGCAGAUGAUGGAGAAAUGGAGGAUGUAUGGAAGAUUUAUAGAGCUUCUUUCAAAAAUAUCUGAAAACUCAAUGAUUGUGGUCACGUCACAACUUCUGAAGCCUGCCUUUGUAAACCUGACGAUGCCUUUUGAGUCCUCCUAGUCCUCAUUUAGAAAUUUCAGCCUGUUCUUUCUUGUAUAUUUCCAGCUCUGCUGAUAUACUGUUUAUAAACCACAAAUUAAUCCACUGGAGGAAAAAUUGCCAAAGGAACAAGUGAAGAGAUGAAGUUUCAGUCUCCAGCCGCCAAAAAGUCUGACAGCUGCAACGAAGGUUUGAUGAACUUAUCAGCCCACAGAAAUCUUCACAAAAUGAACUUCAGCUGAAUAUUUAUUGGAACAAAGGAGAUCCUUUUAUUUUCAGAUCACAAUCCUCGGCUCUCAGAUCUGGAGUCGACCCUUCGUUACUUUCUGACAGACUGCAGAAGAACUCCUCAUUACGUCAAAGUUUAAAUGAACUCCAUCUGGUUGUCAGUUUGACUCUGACUGGAAAUCCUUUCUCUCUCCUGAACUGAGAUCACCCUCUCAUCAGCGGCUCCGUGUGCACUGAGCGAUCAACUGACCCGACAGGCUUUGCGUGUCUCAGAUUUGAUGAACAACUGAUGACAUUUGUGAAGCUGGAAGGUUCAUGAAGGUGUGCGGAGCAGCACAUUUUAGAGAUUUAUUUUGUAAACACUGGCUUCGUGUUAGAAACCAGACUGAAUCAUGUGGCUCCUUCCAAUGUGGAGAAAGAGCAGCUCUACUCGAGUCACUCCUGAACCUUAGAGGGAGAGUCCAGACACCCCGGUGAGGACGCCUGUGUCUGCAGUGUUUUUCUGGCACUGCCAGCACCUCAUGGCCACAGGUGAGGGGAAGAAUGCAGAUCGAUCAAUAAAUCGACAGCAACAGAAAAAGCUCAGAAAGUUGUUGAUGUCAGACAGAAAGUGUGACUGACAAAGCUAAAGUGUUGGGUUCAUGGCAGAGCUGUAAUCUGGUAUUUGGUCCUAACUGUCCCCGAUCAGACUAACAGCUGAUCAACCAGGUCUUUAUAUUUUUAUACAGGCUAAGCUACCAGCCUGUUGUAUAAAUGUUCAUCCAUUAUCUUCCCAAAUCUACACUUCCAAGUUCAUAAGUUAGAAGAACAGCUUCCAAACUUCAGAGGGGCAAAAGAGUAAACUACAAGUUUACAGUAACUUGUCAUGACAAAGAACGUUUCUGUGAAAAAAGUCCACCCAUAUGCUUUCAUAUGAAUUAGGAUAAAUAAGCAGCACCAAGGUCCUGAUAAUCCACAGCAGCAGAUUAACUCAUCAGCAGAUUUUAUAGAGGUGUGCGAUGGUACCUGAGUGCUACAUCUUAGACUCCAAAGGCCUAAUAAUGAGUGCGGCUUCCUCUCUCUAAGCCUGGCACAGUAGCAUCUGAACAAACUACAAGUGUGUACGCACAAAUCUGCCAGUCAUCAAUAUUUCAUAACUGGAUUUGUUUGGUGUUGCAUGUCCCACCGGAGGAGGCCCCGGGGCAGACCCACGACACACUGGAGAGAUUAUAUCUCUCGGCUGGCCUGGGAGCCUUGGUGUUCCCCCGGGUAAGAUGGAGGAGGUGGCCGGGGAGGGGGAGGUCUGGGCUUCUCUGCUUGGGCUGCUGCCCCCACGACCCGGCCCAGAUAACCAGAAGACGGAUGGACGUAUUUGUUUGUACUUUAGAAGCAGCUCAGACUGAAAAUUCAGGCCGUCUCUGUGCAGCAUGACAGCAUCGCUGCUCUCUCCACUUCAGAUUGAGGUAAACUUGUUUCCUCGUGUAGAGAAACGUGGCCGUGAGCAUAGUGCGCAGACAGCAUGAGCCUGUGGACAUGAAAUGAGUCUGAUUCACUGACUGCACACAGUAAGAGUGGAACUGGUCCACGUGUUUAUUGUAAUUAUUGUAAGACCAUGUCAGUGAAUGAGGCCCAAUGUGCUCUGCACAGAUGAGAGCAGAGAUGAGACGUUUGGUUGUAAUGAACAGUGGCACCUUUGGAUAAAUCCCAGCACCACCACGUCACAGAGUGCUGUGGACAAUAAAAGGCUUCAUUUCUUCAUUUCAGGGAACCUGAGAACCUGGAGAAAACCCACCCAGCACAGAGCUAGAAACCACUUAUUUACUACAGCUUUAAGCUCGGUCUGAUUUGUAAAGGUAUUGUGACGUUUGCCCCAUAAUGACGGAGACAAACGGCCUGUUUUAGUUCUGCACGGCUGCUCUGACUUACAACU